rnacentral:rRNA from 1 species
AACCGCGGGAGGGGAGUGAAAAAGAACCUGAAACCGUAUGCCUACAAGAAGUCAGAGCCCGUUAAAGGGUGAUGGCGUGCCUUUUGUAGAAUGAACCGGCGAGUUACUGUAUGGAGCGAGGUUAAGCAGGAUAUGCGGAGCCGAAGCGAAAGCGAGUCUUAAGAGGGCGAAAGUUGCAUGCAGUAGACCCGAAACCGGGUGAUCUAGCCAUGACCAGGUUGAAGUUGGGGUAAAACCCGAUGGAGGACCGAACCGACCCCCGUUGAAACGUUGGCGGAUGAGUUGUGGCUAGGGGUGAAAUUCCAAUCGAACCCGGAGAUAGCUGGUUCUCCCCGAAAUAGCUUUAGGGCUAGCGUCGAGGUAGAGAGUUGCGUGAAGGUAGAGCACUGAAUAUGUGAUGGCCCCAUCUCGGGGUACUGAGCAUAAUCAAACUGCGAAUGUCACGGAAACAUACUCGGCAGUCAGACAGCGGGUGAUAAGGUCCGUUGUCAAGAGGGAAACAGCCCAGACCAUCAGCUAAGGUCCCAAAAUGUAUGCUAAGUGGAAAAGGAUGUGGAGAUGUACAGACAACUAGGAGGUUGGCUCAGAAGCAGCCAUCCUUUAAAGAGUGCGUAACAGCUCACUAGUCGAAUGACUCUGCGCCGAUAAUUUACCGGGGCUAAGCAUACUACCGAAGCUAUGGAUCCCAAGGGAUGGUAGGGGAGCGUUCCAUGAACGGAGAAGCGCGAUCGAGAGGACGCGUGGAGAUCAUGGAAGAGAGAAUGCCGGUGUGAGUAGCGGAACGUGGGUGAGAAUCCCACGCACCGAAAACCCAAGGUUUCCAGAGGAAGGUUCGUCCGCUCUGGGUAAGUCGGGACCUAAGGCGAGGCCGAGAGGCGUAGUCGAUGGACAACAGGUAGAGAUUCCUGUACUCAUAUAUAUGUGAAGGAAUGACGGAGAGAGGAAGCUGCAGCCAGCGGCUGGAAGAGCUGGUGCAAGCGAGAUAUCGGGAUGGCAGGCAAAUCCACCAUCCGAAACGAGAAGGCGUGAAGCGUACGGAAAGCUAAGGCGAGUACGGAAGGCAGUGGAGGAGCUUCCAAGAAAAGUUUCUAACGAAAGUAUAUGUGACCCGUACCGAAAAUGGACACACAUGGGUGAGGAGAGAAUCCUAAGGUGAGCGAGAGAACUAUAGCUAAGGAACUCUGCAAAAUGACUCCGUAACUUAGGGAGAAGGAGUGCUCAUAGAGAUAUGAGCCGCAGUGAAACGGCCCAAGCGACUGUUUACCAAAAACACAGCUCUCUGCUAAGCCGCAAGGCGAAGUAUAGGGGGUGACGCCUGCCCGGUGCUGGAAGGUUAAGGGGAGGGGUUAACGCAAGUGAAGCCCUGAACUGAAGCCCCAGUAAACGGCGGCCGUAACUAUAACGGUCCUAAGGUAGCGAAAUUCCUUGUCAGGUAAGUUCUGACCCGCACGAAAGGCGUAACGAUUUGGGCGCUGUCUCAGCUGUAGACUCGGUGAAGUCUUAGUACCUGUGAAGAUGCAGGUUACCCGCGACUAGACGGAAAGACCCCAUGGAGCUUCACUGCAGGUUGAUAUUGGGAUUUGAUGCAGCAUGUACAGGAUAGGUAGGAGGCAAAGAGAUGGAUACGCCAGUAUUCAAGGAGCCGCUGUUGGGAUACUACCCCUGUUGUAUUGGAUUUCUAACCGGACGACGUAAAGCCGUUGACGGGACAGUGUCAGUCGGGCAGUUUGACUGGGGCGGUCGCCUCCCAAAGAGUAACGGAGGCGCCCAAAGAUACCCUCAGCUUGGAUGGAAACCAAGCGCAGAGUGCAAAGGCAAAAGGGUGCUUGACUGCGAGACCUACAAGUCGAGCAGGGACGAAAGUCGGGCUUAGUGAUCCGGCGGUGCUGAAUGGAAAGGCCGUCGCUCAACGGAUAAAAGCUACCCUGGGGAUAACAGGCUGAUCUCCCCCAAGAGUUCACAUCGACGGGGAGGUUUGGCACCUCGAUGUCGGCUCAUCGCAUCCUGGAGCUGAAGUCGGUUCCAAGGGUUGGGCUGUUCGCCCAUUAAAGCGGUACGCGAGCUGGGUUCAGAACGUCGUGAGACAGUUCGGUCCCUAUCUGUCGUGGGCGCAGGAAAUUUGAGAAGAGCUGUCCUCAGUACGAGAGGACCGGGAUGGACGCAUCAAUGGUGGACCAGUUGUCACGCCAGUGGCAUAGCUGGGUAGCUAAAUGCGGAAGGGAUAAACGCUGAAGGCAUCUAAGUGUGAAACCCACUUCAAGAUGAGAUUUCCCAUUGC